AAUCAACGCUGGCGGCGUGCUUAACACAUGCAAGUCGAACGAUGAAGCCGGAGCUUGCUCUGGUGGAUUAGCGGCGAACGGGUGAGUAACACGUGAGUAACCUGCCCUUGACUCUGGGAUAAGCGCUGGAAACGGCGUCUAAUACCGGAUACGAGCUUCCACCGCAUGGUGAGUUGCUGGAAAGAAUUUCGGUCAAGGAUGGACUCGCGGCCUAUCAGCUUGUUGGUGAGGUAACGGCUCACCAAGGCGACGACGGGUAGCCGGCCUGAGAGGGUGACCGGCCACACCGGGACUGAGACACGGCACAGACUCCUACGGGAGGCAGCAGUGGGGAAUAUUGCACAAUGGGCGCAAGCCUGAUGCAGCAACGCCGCGUGAGGGACGAAGGCCUUCGGGUCGUAAACCUCUUUUAGCAGGGAAGAAGCGAAAGUGACGGUACCUGCAGAAAAAGCACCGGCUAACUACGUGCCAGCAGCCGCGGUAAAAC
rnacentral:rRNA from 1 species